GGAGGAGUACGGCGACAACGAUGAUGAUGAUGAUGACCACCACUACGAUAAACGAUGGUGGUGGUUUAGUCCACGAUUACGACGACUACUAUGAUAAUGAUAAUGAUGACUUUCGUUUCGUUUCUCAUUGGUACAGAACACCGUAGAACGUUGGCUGCUGUUCAGCAAAGAUGUACAGGAGUGGCUGUGUGCUAGAAGUGAAGAAUUUUGGUAUGGCACCGAUGAAAUUUCAGAUUUCUUCUUAAUUGUACAAAAUCAGCUCACUCUCUUAUUACGUCUGCACCUUGGUUUUGCUGUAUUUUUAUAGGUUUCUGUUCCUGAAUUUCAGACUGGAUUUCUGAAAAGGCACGUAUCUCAGCAUCCAAGAAAAUCAUCAAUGACACAUGAUAGAUUCUUUCAUUUUGCUUUGUUGUUUUUGUUUUUACCGUAUUUUUACAACUACAACCACAAUUUGAUUUACACAACUACGUCAGUUUAAAUAUAAGAAUUAAUUUACUAUUCUGGAGUUUCAGAAUGUGCAAAAACUCCUCCUCAUUGUCGUAACCGUCAUCAUAAUCAUCAUUAUCAAGCCCUGGACAUUACCAUCACGAAUCCUUGGACUCACAGGGCCGGUUACCAGUUCCCAUUAUAUAUAAGUGACGAAAAUCCCAGUUGUCCGUCGCAGGAUUACUCACAGUUUAAUGAACUGGAGCAACGGAAAAUGAAGUAUUUUUGCUCAAAAAGACAAUGCACUGUCCGGUUCGAGAAUCGAAACCAUGACCCAGUGAGAGUAACACUCUAACUACUAAAUACCAUUCGGUCAAAAUAAUUUUCAUCUUAUGAUUGCUUUCAGUAUUUUUAGUUUUUACCAAACCAAAUUUCCAAGACCCAAUAUUCUUUUCUACUCUAAGCACAAAGCCCGAAAUUUUGGGGGCGGGGUGGGGGGUACUUACUUUAUCGACCCCCGAAAGGCAAAGUCGACUUCGGCGGAAUUUGAACUCAGGACGUAAAGACAGACGAAAUACCGCAAAGCAUUUCACUCGGCAUGCAAACAUUUCUUAUUUCUUUAUUGCUCACAGGGGGCUAAACAUGGAGGGGACAAACAAGGACAGACAAAGGGAUUAAGUCGAUUACAUCGAUCCCAGUGCAUAACGGGUACUUUAUUUAUCGAUCCCGAAAGGAUGAAAGGCAAAGUCGAAUUCGGCGGAAUUUGAACUCAGAACGUAAAGACAGACGAAAUACCGCAAAGCAUUUCACCCGGCGUGCUAACACUUCUGCCAGCUCGUCACCCAAGACAUGGCGAAUAUCGAUUCACCAUACUUCUUUUAACGCUUUAACUGCAGAAUUAAAUUUUAUGGUUAUUCCAAUGAUCAUGUUAAAUAUCUACCAAAAAUAGAAUCGCUCAAUAAACUUGACGCAUCUGUACAAAACAAAAAGAAAACAGUUUUAAACUACAUUCUUCAACAAAAAAUAAAUUGGUAUAUAAAACUGUUGUCUGCAAUUAAGAGCAAUGAAAUUUUAUAUAUCUGAUUUCUGCAGUAAAAAAGUUAAAGCCAAAUUUGAAAUAUGCUCGAUAGUUUGGAAACUAUGGUUCUAGGUCCUAACGAAUUACUUAAUAAGCAAUUGAUGUUGUUUGUUGUUGUUGGGAGUAGUGGUACGAAUAAAACUGAUGUGGAGUGCACAAUCCUUUCUACUAUAGGUACAAGACCUGAAAUUGUUGGG